GAGCUGGGUUCAGAACGUCGUGAGACAGUUCGGUCCCUAUCCGUCGCGGGCGUAGGAAAUUUGAGAGGAUCUGCUCCUAGUACGAGAGGACCAGAGUGGACUUACCGCUGGUGUACCAGUUGUCUUGCCAAAGGCAUCGCUGGGUAGCUAUGUAGGGAAGGGAUAAACGCUGAAAGCAUCUAAGUGUGAAACCCACCUCAAGAUGAGAUUUCCCAUGAUUUUAUAUCAGUAUAGCCCUGAGAGAUGA
rnacentral:rRNA from 13 species